rnacentral:tRNA from 1 species
GGAGAAAUGGCAGAGUGGUCGAAUGCACUAGUCUUGAAAACUAGCGACUGUCACAGGUCCGGGGGUUCGAAUCCCUCUUUCUCCGCAA